rnacentral:precursor_RNA from 1 species
CCAGCCGGUGUUCAUGCCCCAUAGGUUCCCGGGGUGGCCGAGAGCCGCCCCUCAGUGCUGCGGGGUGACCACCUGUUUGCC